rnacentral:lncRNA from 1 species
AUCUACUUUUUUUAUUAUUAUUAUUAAUUUAAAUAAUUAUAAACUCGAUUACCUUGUUCGAUGUCAUUGUACGGGUCGAAAGGUUUCAUCUCGAAUUCACUGGAUAGACCACCGAAAGCGUAAAUGAUGUGAGUACAAAGUGAAAUUUCCUUCUUCCACACAUUCUGGAUAUGUUUAUUGAACGAAUAUCGCGGGUUUUAAAGAGGAAAAUCGUAUUAAUUAUUGUAUCAUUAUCGCGACCUAUAAAGCAAACAUUGUCCCAUUUAAAUUCGUCUACCGAAUUUUUCUUAUAUUCUUAAAGAAGAAGAAGAAAAAAAAGGAUUUAAAAGAGAAAUGUGAAAGAUUAAUGUAGAACAGAAAAGAAAUUAACCGUUGGAAACGUAAUUAAACUCCUACUUUAAUGGCCAUUCGUGAAAAAUUUCACCAAGAUGAUGGCACUCGUUAAGACAAAAUGGAAGAUUAGAAGAGGGUGAAUUUUUUUUCUAUGGUUUUUAAGAAUACGAUGGACGAAAAGUGACCUAAAUUACCUCUCAAUGUUACCGACGAAAGUAUUUUUCAGCGAUAAAUAACGUAGAAGUCAAGCUAAAUCCACGAAAUUAUUCAAAAAAAUUCUACUACUUACUUAAAACCUUAAAAAUACUUACUUAACUUCGAUACUGCGAC